ACUUGGACCUAUUUGUAUGCAAUGCCGUGUGCUCUGCGCAUUAAUAGUAAUACAGAUAACGGGUAUGAAAGAAUUCUCUACUGAAGAAGGAUUGAAUAUUUUUCCAGGCUGCUGAGACCGAGAGGAAAUCUGACUCUUCUCUCCCUGCCCCUCACUCAUACUGGAAAAAGUCUCAGACAGGCUUUUGCUGCGUUUAAACUCGGGAGGCUGCUCUCUGCAGAGCAAAGUUGGAGGGCUGUGCCUGCAUCGCGGAGCUGCUGGAUUUCUGAAAAGAAUCUUAUGGAAGGGUAAGUCUUGCAAACGAUUGCAAAGGAAGAAACUCGGGCUUUGGAAUCGUGAAAGAGGUCGCAUGGUUUCACAAUGAUGGUCGAGGGAGUGGAGUCUGGGUGCGGAAGAGACUGCAGUUUGCCCAGAAAUUCUGAGGGAUGCACCCGGGAUUUGGGGAGGGUACUAUCGAAAGCCUUCAGGCUGAAUGGGAAAUUGCAGUCUUAAGCUCUGGCGGGAUUCAACAAGUUUCCCCGCAGAGAUGCGAUGCUUGUUUUGUUGCCCUGCAAGUUGAUCCAGGUGUCACUUAUGAGCGAGCUGUGCUUGCUUAACAAAGAAGUUUCUGGAUAUUUGCCUGUUUUGUACCGCUGGGUUCAUCUUUAUUUGAAGAGCAUCUGUGCAGCCUUUAUGUCUCUUGGGGACACAAGGGAACUGCCUCAUGGGAAGUUCCAAUUUUCAGAAUCCUGCUGGCUUUGAACAGGGCAAGUUUGCUGCGUGAUCCAAGGGUCUUUGAGCGCAAGGGUUUGUCUUGUGUGGAAAGAUGCAGAAAGCAUACUCCGAGGGGCUCCCAAACUUUGAAAGCAUUCUCUGAGGAUGGGUGGGAGUGGGGACUUUGGAAUUAAGCGUUGCUAGGUGAAUUAUGUUGAACUCUUAGAGAUAUGUAGGCGAUAGAGUUUAUUGAGACCUUUAUUUCAACCUGCACCUUUGGGCUUGGAAGCCAGCUGUAGUGGCAAUGUAGAGGAGAUAGGGGAUUAAAACAAAACAGUGAAGGGGGUGCACAUAAUGUGAGAGAGGCAAAGGAGAGAAGGAGAGCUGAUAGAUGAAUGAACCCCGUCUUUUACACACAAAAACCUCACUCUCAGGACGUGCCAGGAAGCGCUCCAGUUGGUGGCUGGGGGCGUUUAGCCGCAAAACCUAUUACAGGGAUGUCCGGGAGCCUCUUCCCUAUCAAUGAAGCGCGGUGUCCUCUUAGGGGCCUUUCAGCUCCUUCUCUAGGUCCUCUCUUGCCUCCUCUCUCUGAUCACCCCCACCUGAGAGAGGAGCUUGAGGCGAGGGCGCCAGUGGACUAGCUAGUCCCGCAUCUCUGCGGACACAAUAGGGAGAGGCUUGUGAGCAGCCAAUGCGGGUUGCGGGCAGGCUCUCGUGAACAUCCCGCUGCCGCAGACCGGACUGCUAAUCUAUCUGCUUUGCUCCGGGGCGUUGGAGGCUGCCUUGGUUCAGCAGUCUCACGCUAUAAAAUUCACUGAGAGCUCGCACCUGGGCAUAAAGGUCCCUGAUUACCAUUGUAGCAGGGCACCGCUGCAGGCUGACAAGUGCUUUGCGAGAAAGAAUGCCUUCUUCACCUCUCACUCAUUCUGGGGCUCCGAGAAAUCUAUGCUGCUACGCGAAGAUUCCUCGAUUGCACCAAAGCAGCUUAGGAGACCUGCCCUUCAAAAGGGGGACUAUCCUAGAGGACAGAAAGAAAGCACUUAAGAUUUUAGGAAGAGAAAGGAAACAACCCAGGGCAUUGGCCGGGCUUUCCUGAGCUCUUUCAGGUGGAUGGGUUUAGAUGGGGAGGGGGUGUGUGUGUGGAGGCAUUAAAAUGCUGUCCCUGCCCUCUCUAGAAACUGAAGAGGCAGGCUUCCAGAUGCGGAAGCUCAGGAGAGACUCCUGUAGAUGAAGGAAGGAGAAGGCAGGGCAAGAGGCUUCAUUUUGCAGUGUCAUUUAACCCUGACCUCAGCACCUCCCACCCUUUCAGGCCCUCACCAGGGAGUGCCCGACCUUGUAAAUUCCCUUGUAUCUAUCUAUCUGUCUAGUAG
rnacentral:lncRNA from 1 species